rnacentral:lncRNA from 1 species
UUUCAACUGAAAUCAGAGACCAACCAAUACUCCACACUAGGACUGUCCUUUGACAUCCUGCUAGUUCGAUGGAUGAUGGCUGUUUUUCAAUUUUGACUGUGAAAUUUUGACUGCGAAAGAGCUUUUCACUGCUUUCCAAUAAUUUCAGUUAUUGUCAUAUGACCUCUCAUCUGCAAACCAGAUCAGUGAUAACUUCUCAAAGGGUGGUUUUGAGGAAGGGAGAUGAGU